rnacentral:tRNA from 1 species
GGGGUCGUAGCUCAGUUGGUAGAGCGCCUGCUUUGCAAGCAGGAUGUCACCGGUUCGAAUCCGGUCGGCUCCACCA